CACCCACCUUGGCCUGCUAAAUUACGUUUCUUGUAAAAGUUACAUUUUAUCUCUAUUGGUGGUGGUGUUAGAAAGAGUUGCUUGUGCCAAAAUGGCAGCUUCCAGCCGCGCACAAGUGUUAGAUCUGUACUGGGCUAUGCUGAGAGAAAGCAAGCGUUUCAGCGCCUACAAUUACAGAACGGAUGCUGUCAGGAGGAUAAGAGAUGCCUUCAGAGAAAAUAAAAAUGUAAAGGAUCCUGUAGAAAUUCAAACCCUGGUGAAUAAGGCCAAGAGAGACCUUGGAAUAAUUCGUUGACAGGUCCACAUUGGCCAACUGUAUUCAACUGACAAGCUGAUUAUUGAGAAUUGAGACAUGCCCAGGACCUAGCAAGCCAGGAUCAGCCACCAGCAGCGGCUAGGGACCACCUUUAGCAUCCACUUUGUGUUUGAGAUGGGGGCUCCCAAAGCCAGCUUACAACAGCCUCUUGCGCAGCCUGCCCUGUGGGAGCUGAUAAACUGAGUCACAUUUGCAUUCUGCUGCAGCUUUACUGAAAAAAGAUGGCUGUCUGUCCUUGGUUCAAGUGUUAGAAUGAAGAGCUGGAGCUCGUUCCGAAUAAUGCCUUGUGUUACCACAUCUCCCCUCCACCCCACUCCUAUCUUGUAGCUCAUGACCACUGUGUAUAGUAUUUCUACACUUUCUUUCUUGGUCCUUGGCAAUAAAAAGGAUUGUCUCCCUGAGUCUUUCACACCAAAAAAAAAA